UUUAGGGUCGUGUUGAGGUCUUUAGGGUCGUGUUGGGGUCUUGAGGGUCAUGUUGAGGUCUUUAGGGUCUUGUUGGGGUCUUUAGGGUCUUGUUGGGGUCUUUAGGGUCUUGGUGAGGUCUUUGGGGUCUUGUUGGGGUCUUUAGGGUCGUGUUGGGGUCUUUAGGGUCUUGUUGGGGUCUUUCAGGUUGGAUCUUUCCUUCACAGAAAGCAGGACCCUCCAUCCAUGCAGAGAGAAGCUGAACACAUGAACGCGUCAUGGCGUGCUCUUACAGACUAAGAUCAGGACAGAGGGGA